rnacentral:rRNA from 1 species
AUGGAUAAAAAUAAAAUGGAAGGGAAGAGGACAACUAGAGCUGAGUCUAAAUCAAAGGCAUCUUCACCCGCUAGUGCAAUUGCCUUUUCAGCCACCACCUCUCGUCCGCGCUCAACUCUCCCGAGUCUGCGGGCUGACGUGGACUACUCCAAAUACAAUCUGAAGAAGAUGAAGAAGCUCAGGCUUGUCGCGGAGACAGAGUGGUUCCCACCUCAGAGACAUGAUCGUCGCUUGACAAGCAGCCGGUUCUGGACAGUUGUGCACAAGGACCUGUACCUUGCUCUCAAGUCACAGGCCAGCGAUAUGAGGUGGAUCGACUGGUCGUCAGUCAACCAGAGUGUUGGCGCAGAUGUUGAUGUUCGUGGAUACUUUGCAGCUACUCCGGGGCUUGACAAGCUGUUAGAGAGGCAGGACCUCAGCUGGGCUGACUCGCACAUUCGUCAGUUCUACGCCACACUAUGGAUUCACCCAGACCGAUCGAGUAUCAAGUUCAUGUUUGGGAACCAACAGCGUGAGUUGUCCAGGGAUGAUUUCGCCGGGUCUCUUGGCCUGUCUUGCGGUGGUGUCCGAGUGCACACCUUGGCAUACCCCAAUGGGAACGGUGAUGAAGUUCACUUGCCACCUCUAGAGGACAUUCGCCACCUUUACAUCAAACCUCAUGCCGUGACAGAGUUCUGGAAGGACCAAAGUGAGUUGAACCAUGAAGCAGCUGUUGUAAACACAGUUGUGAGGGUGACGAUCCGUCCUAGAAUUGGAGGCCGCGAGUCCCUAUCUACAGUUGAGAUUUGGCUUCUGCACUUGUUGAGGUCAGGAAAGCGUGUUGACAUAGUAGAUUUGAUGAUUGCAGAGAUGCAGGACACUAUUCUGAAAAUCAAACGUCGGCUGCCCUAUGCCCCGUAUCUCAUUCACUUGUUUGACAAGAAAGGGUGGCUUGAGGAUGGCAUGAAAAAGACUUUGGAUCAGCACCUCAAGCCAUACAAAGCUCCGGGGCCCGAUGACAAGAGGAGGCUCAAGAAUAGGGCACUUCAGCAUGACAAGUCGUACAAGGCUCCAAAGCCCGAUGACAAGAGGAGGCUCGUGACCAGGUCACUUCCAGCCCAGAUGGAAGCUGGAUUUGAUGAUCAUGAGCAUGUAGAGUUGGACCAAACACUUAUCCCGAGCAUACAGGAGCAAGCUCUUGGGGACACCACUAAUGGGGAAGCUGACACAGAUCCUGGCCAACAUAUGGCGCCACCCCCAGUUCCUGAUGAGUUCAGAUCUGGCCAGCAGGGAGCUCAUGACGCAGAGCCAGGAGGGUCGGGUGGUCAUUUCGCAGAGGCAGGAGGCUUGGCUGGUCAUAUCUAUGACGUUCCUCCCAUGCUGCAGAGACAGAUUGAUCGCCAGACGGCUAUCCUUGAGCAGAUGCAGAGACAGAUGCAGGAUAUCCGGAACCUGGCUGUGGUUUCUAUUGGUCAGAGUAUUCGCCGCGACGCUCGCCACAGUGAUAUUCUGGCUCUUCUCGAUGAGAGUUUUAGUGCUUCCUGCGGACUCUAG